AUCUCUAAAUACGCCAUCUUCAUUCAAGGUUGCAAUUUUCUCUUUUGAGGAAGACAGAGUGGCUCUUACAAUGCCACUUCCAGGGAGUUGAGAAGUGAGUCAUAGAUGAUAUUAGCCAUGCAUUCCAGGAAUUCACAGUGUGGGAAAAGAUGUAUAAGAAAACUGAUUCAGCCAUGAUGUACUGUCCAUUUCCUGAUAUGGUUUGGCUCCCACUCAAAUCUCAUCACAAACUAUAAUUCCCACGCGAUGAGGAAGGGACCAGGUGGGGCGGAUUCCCCCAUACUCUUCUCAUGAUAGUGAGAGAGUUCUCACGAGAUCUGAUGGGAUAAAACUGGCAGUUUCCCCUGCCUACUCCUUCUCUCCUGUUGCUGGGUAAGAUGUACCUUGCUUUUUCGCCUUCUGCCGUGAUUCCUGAGGCCUCUCCCAGCCAUGUGGAACGAUUCAACAAAGACAUCCAGACGGCUCUGCAUGGUGUUUAGAGAGCAGCCCCCUGUUGAAGCUCUUCGGAUAAAUUCUGUGAAAAGGAAUUGCUGAGCUAAGGGACCAGGAUCCCUUUCAACAACUGCUGAAGAUGCUGGGUCACCCAGGCAACAACCUCAAAACAGAUCCUGUUUUGGAGUGAGAAUUUCCUCUCUAAGUGAUGGCCUGAAAAUUAGCGAAUUUCCAGAACUGCACUCCUGAUGGGUCUUUUCACUUCCUAUCCAAUAUUCAGGCCUAAAAUGAAUCCUUUCUUGCUCAUUUUUAUGGGUGAUAAUGUGUUCCUCCCACCUGGUGCUUCUUUUUAUUUCACUACAGCUAUAACAAGCACUUAUAAGAACAGCAAUCUAGGUUACCUGAAAACCUUUUCCUUGUUAACUUGUCUCAAAAAACUAAGACUAGUGAGAGAAUUGAAAGGCAGUAUCUCAGUCAUAGUUAUAUAAAGCUGCUCUUGAGCAUAUCAUUAACUUUUCCCCCUGGUUUAUCUGUUUAAAAAUAGGAAUGCCAUUCAUUUGUUAGGCUUUGGCAGACAACUCACAGGCCUCAUUAGGGUAGACAUGCUCUAUCCCUUUCCCUUCAUACAAAUGUAAAGCAGUUUACCUUAGAAAAAUGCUAAAUGAAUGAGAUGCUUAAAUAAUAAUAAACAAGUAUCUUAACACUCUGUGAUUAGCACUCAGUCAUGACUAAUGUUUAGACCUCCUCAUUUCUGUCAAAAAUCCAUUUUAUCAGAGGCAGAAAUGGCCUAAAUUAUUUGAUAUGCAUUAGCUAUGAAAAAGACCUCUUGCAGCACUA
rnacentral:lncRNA from 1 species